rnacentral:rRNA from 1 species
UACGGAGGGAGCUAGCGGUUGUUCGGAAUUACUGGGCGUAAAGCGCACGUAGGCGGCUUGUAAGUUAGAGGUGAAAGCCUGGAGCUCAACUCCAGAAUUGCCUUUAAGACUGCAUCGCUUGAAUCAUGGAGAGGCGGGUGGAAUUCCGAGUGUAGAGGUGAAAUUCGUAGAUAUUCGGAAGAACACCAGUGGCGAAGGCGGCCCGCUGGACAUGUAUUGACGCUGAGGUGGCGAAAGCGUGGGAGCAACAGGG